rnacentral:rRNA from 1 species
GAUGAACGCUGGCGGCGUGCCUAAUACAUGCAAGUCGAGCGAACAGACGAGGAGCUUGCUCCUCUGACGUUAGCGGCGGACGGGUGAGUAACACGUGGAUAACCUACCUAUAAGACUGGGAUAACUUCGGGAAACCGGAGCUAAUACCGGAUAAUAUAUUGAACCGCAUGGUUCAAUAGUGAAAGACGGUUUUGCUGUCACUUAUAGAUGGAUCCGCGCCGCAUUAGCUAGUUGGUAAGGUAACGGCUUACCAAGGCGACGAUGCGUAGCCGACCUGAGAGGGUGAUCGGCCACACUGGAACUGAGACACGGUCCAGACUCCUACGGGAGGCAGCAGUAGGGAAUCUUCGGCAAUGGGCGCAAGCCUGACGGAGCCACGCCGCGUGAGUGAUGAAGGUCUUCGGAUCGUAAAACUCUGUUAUUAGGGAAGAACAACUGUAUAAGUAACCAGACACGUCUUGACGGUACCUAAACAGAAAGCCACGGCUAACUACGUG